rnacentral:rRNA from 1 species
CAGUAGCCGCGGGAAUACAGAGGGUGCGAGCGUUAAUCGGAUUUACUGGGCGUAAAGCGUGCGUAGGCGGCUUUUUAAGUCGGAUGUGAAAUCCCUGAGCUUAACUUAGGAAUUGCAUUCGUUACUGGGAAGCUAGAGUAUGGGAGAGGAUGGUAGAAUUCCAGGUGUAGCGGUGAAAUGCGUAGAGAUCUGGAGGAAUACCGAUGGCGAAGGCAGCCAUCUGGCCUAAUACUGACGCUGAGGUACGAAAGCAUGGGGAGCAAACAGGAUUAGAUACCCCUGUAGUCCCUGUCUCUUAUAC